rnacentral:rRNA from 1 species
UACGUAGGGCGCAAGCGUUGUCCGGAAUUAUUGGGCGUAAAGAGCUCGUAGGCGGCCAGUUGCGUCUGCUGUGAAAUCCCGGGGCUCAACCCCGGGCGUGCAGUGGAUACGGGCUGGCUAGAGGCAGGCAGGGGAGAACGGAAUUCCCGGUGUAGUGGUGGAAUGCGUAGAUAUCGGGAGGAACACCAGUGGCGAAGGCGGUUGCCUGGGGCUUUGCUGACGCUGAUGCGCGAAAGCGUGGGGAGCGAUCCGG